AUCUCACAAAUCAUUCCAGGUGCUUCCCUGCCAGGCCUUCCACGGGACUCUUCCUGUAACUUCCCAAUCCCGGCUCCAGUUUUAGGAGUCAUCAUUCCCCAGGAUAAGAUCGAGGAGAUGGACCUCAGCCAGAGAGAAAAAAAAAUCCUGCUUUCCAGAAGCAGACUUUCCCAGCCUCCUGCUUAUGUGUGCUCGUCAAGGAUGAGGUCGACCCGGAAUACACAGAAGGAACGACGGACCUUUAUCCUGCGGUCGCAUCCGGCACAUUUUGGCAAAGAGCUUCCGAGACCGAGUGCGUCGUCCAGGAAAAUCCGAAAAGAGUGUGACGGGAGACUGUAAACAAGCCUCUCCGCUACGUCUUAGGCAUGGAAAAACCCCGACUCGCCGUAACCCACGCAGAGCGGCCCCGCCCUACCUCGUUGCUUUGAUCGUACAGAGGUCGACCACCACAUGGCGGAGCUGCCAGCUCCAGCGAGCGUCCCAUCCCAAGGACGAGUGCGUGUCUCUCUCGCCUGGAACAUCCUUAAAAUGUCCCCAAAACAUCCUAGGCCCUUGGCACCAACUACUCCAGCAUCUGCUCUCAAUACGUGGAAGAUGUGGAGGCCGGCGACUUGGAAACAUCCAAGGACCGCUGUGGUAUGGCAUGUCAUCGUUGCUGUCCCAUCCCUCUCUCUCACUAUUUUUCUCCGGCCCCAUCUAAAGGAGCUCAUCUGCAUAGAUCAUCAUGACUUCGGCGCACGCGGACAAUGCUAAUGUCACGGUCAGGGACACGCCGAGACCGACAAGUGCGUCCCACAGUUCAGGGCCGAUUCUCUGUUCCUAGCCAAACCGAUGCUCGAUGGUACAUGUGCAUUUCAUUCACUGAGCACGUUUCACUCGAUCCAUCGAUACACAGACUCCGCAAAAAUGCGAAACGCUCAAAGGGACAGCAGUGAGCCCCUUGGAAUGAGUCAUUCUCGCUAUUGCUUCAUACGCUCGUGAAUAUUCACCAUCUAACCCAGUUUACUUUGUGUGUUAAUGCACAGCAGUGGCAUAUUCAUCAAGCCAUCCAGA